CAAGUCGAGCGAGCUUGCCUAGAUGAUUUGGUGCUUGCACUAAAUGAAACUAGAUACAAGCGAGCGGCGGACGGGUGAGUAACACGUGGGUAACCUGCCCAAGAGACUGGGAUAACACCUGGAAACAGAUGCUAAUACCGGAUAACAANACUAGACGCAUGUCUAGAGUUUGAAAGAUGGUUCUGCUAUCACUCUUGGAUGGACCUGCGGUGCAUUAGCUAGUUGGUAAGGUAACGGCUUACCAAGGCAAUGAUGCAUAGCCGAGUUGAGAGACUGAUCGGCCACAUUGGGACUGAGACACGGCCCAAACUCCUACGGGAGACAGCAGUUAGGAAUAUUCGUCAAUGGGGGGAACCCUGAACGAGCAAUGCCGCGUGAGUGAUGACGGUCCUCUGGAUUGUAAAACUCUGUUGUUUGGAAAGAAUUGUAAGAAGAGGAAAUGCUUCUUAUUUGACGGUACCAUUCAAGAAAGCCACGGCUAACUACGUG
rnacentral:rRNA from 1 species